rnacentral:ribozyme from 1 species
UUUUUUUUUUUUUUUUUUUUUUUUUUUUUUUUCA